rnacentral:tRNA from 1 species
CUCUGGGUGGUGGAAACUGUUAACACGUUUGGCUGCUAACCAAAAGGUUGAAGGUUAGAGUUCACCCAGAGG